rnacentral:misc_RNA from 1 species
AGGUGAACCUGCGGAAGGAUCAUUCAUAAUAAGUGUUUUAUGGCACUUUUUAAAUCCAUAUCCACCUUGUGUACAAUGUCAGUCGAUCUUCUUCAUGGAGAUCGGCCAAACAUCAACCUUAUUUUUUAACUCUUUGUCUGAAAAAUAUUAUGAAUAAACAAUUCAAAAUACAACUUUCAACAACGGAUCUCUUGGCUCUCG